GGAGGUGUAGUUCAACGGUAGAACGUCAGUCUCCAAAACUGAUUGUUAUGGGUUCGAUUCCUGUCGCCUCUGCCA
rnacentral:tRNA from 1 species